rnacentral:rRNA from 1 species
GAUGAACGCUGGCGGCGUGCCUAAUACAUGCAAGUCGAGCGAACAGAUGAGGAGCUUGCUCCUCUGACGUUAGCGGCGGACGGGUGAGUAACACGUGGAUAACCUACCUAUAAGACUGGGAUAACUUCGGGAAACCGGAGCUAAUACCGGAUAAUAUAUUGAACCGCAUGGUUCAAUAGUGAAAGACGGUUUUGCUGUCACUUAUAGAUGGAUCCGCGCCGCAUUAGCUAGUUGGUAAGGUAACGGCUUACCAAGGCAACGAUGCGUAGCCGACCUGAGAGGGUGGUCGGCCACACUGGAACUGAGACACGGUCCAGACUCCUACGGGAGGCAGCAGUAGGGAAUCUUCCGCAAUGGGCGAAAGCCUGACGGAGCAACGCCGCGUGAGUGAUGAAGGUCUUCGGAUCGUAAGACUCUGUUAUUAGGGAAGAACAAAUGUGUAAGUAACUAUGCACGUCUUGACGGUACCUAAUCAGAAAGCCACGGCUAACUACGUG